rnacentral:rRNA from 1 species
GUAUAGAACCUACCUUAUAUUGGGGGAUAGCCCAGAGAAAUUUGGAUUAAUACCCCAUAGUAUGCUGAAGUGGCAUCCUUUAGUAUUAAAGAUUUAUCGAUAUAAGAUGGCUAUGCGUUCUAUUAGCUAGUUGGUAUGGUAACGGCAUACCAAGGCUACGAUAGAUAGGGGUCCUGAGAGGGAGAUCCCCCACACUGGUACUGAGACACGGACCAGACUCCUACGGGAGGCAGCAGUGAGGAAUAUUGGACAAUGGAGGCAACUCUGAUCCAGCCAUGCCGCGUGUAGGAAGACUGCCCUAUGGGUUGUAAACUACUUUUAUAGAGGAAGAAACCGCUCUACGUGUAGAGCUCUGACGGUACUCUACGAAUAAGGAUCGGCUAACUCCGUGCCAGCAGCCGCGGUAAUACGGAGGAUCCAAGCGUUAUCCGGAAUCAUUGGGUUUAAAGGGUCCGUAGCGGGCUUAUAAGUCAGUGGUGAAAGUUUGCGGCUCAACCGUAAAAUUGCCAUUGAUACUGUAGGUCUUGAAUCAUUGUGAAGUGGUUAGAAUGUGUAGUGUAGCGGUGAAAUGCAUAGAUA